rnacentral:misc_RNA from 1 species
UUGAAUGAACUUGGUGUGGUUGUUGCUGGCCCUCUGGGCAUGUGCACACCCGCCAUCCUCAUCUCUUCACCCUGUGCACCUCUUGUAGGCUUGGAUAAACACUUUUCCGAGGCAACUCGGUCGGGAGGAAUGCUGCGCGCAAGCCGGCUUUCUUUGCGUUUUCCAAGACUAUGUUUUUUUAUAUAUCCCCAUUAGUAUGUAACAGAAUGUCACUGGGCGCUUAGCGUCUAUAAAGUUUAUA